rnacentral:misc_RNA from 1 species
ACCCCGUAAACGUUGGGAACUAGUUGUGGGGUCCAUUCCACGGAUUCCGUGACGCAGCUAACGCAUUAAGUUCCCCGCCUGGGGAGUACGGCCGCAAGGCUAAAACUCAAAGGAAUUGACGGGGACCCGCACAAGCGGCGGAGCAUGCGGAUUAAUUCGACGCAACGCGAAGAACCUUACCCAGGCUGGACAUGCAGGUAGUAGAAGGGUGAAAGCCCAACGAGGUAGCAAUACCAUCCUGCUCAGGUGCUGCAUGGCUGUCGUCAGCUCGUGCCGUGAGGUGUUGGGUUAAGUCCCGCAACGAGCGCAACCCUUAUCCUUAGUUGCUACGCAAGGGCACUCUAGGGAGACUGCCGGUGACAAACCGGAGGAAGGUGGGGAUGACGUCAGCCUAUCGAGA